rnacentral:rRNA from 1 species
UUGAACCUGCGGAGGGAUCAUUACCGAGUUUACAACUCCCAAACCCCUGUGAACAUACCAUUUGUUGCCUCGGCGGUGCCCGCUCCGGCGGCCCGCCAGAGGACCCAAACUCUUGUUUUUAUACAGUAUCUUCUGAGUAAAUGAUUAAAUAAAUCAAAACUUUCAACAACGGAUCUCUUGGUUCUGGCAUCGAUGAAGAACGCAGCGAAAUGCGAUAAGUAAUGUGAAUUGCAGAAUUCAGUGAAUCAUCGAAUCUUUGAACGCACAUUGCGCCCGCCAGUAUUCUGGCGGGCAUGCCUGUUCGAGCGUCAUUUCAACCCUCAAGCCCCCGGGCUUGGUGUUGGGGAUCGGCGAGCUUCGGCCCGCCGCCCCCUAAAUCUAGUGGCGGUCUCGCUGUAGCUUCCUCUGCGUAGUAGCACACCUCGCACUGGGAAACAGCGCGGCCACGCCGUUAAACCCCCCACUUCUGAAAGGUGACCUCGAU